UUACGGCCAUAUCUCGUUGAAACACCGGUUCACGUACGAUCACUGAAGUUAAGCAACGUCGAUCCUAGUCAGUAAUUAGAUGGGUGACAGCUUGGGAAUACCAGGUGCUGUAU